CAGCCACAACACCCCAUCAUCUGGGCGAGGCGGUAGCAUCAUACUUGUCAUCAUCCCGUCACAUAGCUUUGCUGUUGAGUGCAAGAAAUCACAUGCAAGCUGGAUUGUGUUAGACAAGAUUUGAAGCAUGAGGAGAAGCAUUGUGGGGGAGAAGCUUCAGUGCAACAUUGUUGUUCUAUAGGGAUCAACAUCCUCAAGA